UCAAUAAAUGGGACUCUGACUAGAAGUAAU
rnacentral:piRNA from 1 species